GCCGGGUGUGGUGGUGCGCGCCUGUAGUCCCAGCUACUUGGAGGCUGAGGCAGGAGAAUGGCAUGAACCCGGGAGGCGGAGCUUGCAGUGAGCCGAGAUCUGGCCACUGCACUCUAGCCUGGGCGACAGAGCCAGACUCCGUCUCAA
rnacentral:sRNA from 1 species